GAAGGGGGGAGCGGCAGGCUCCGUGGCGUAGUUGAACGCAGGCGCUCGGCCCUGGUUCCGGGAGAGCCCGUGCCCGGGGGCGCGGCCGGGGGAGUCCGUAGCAGUCGGGGACGCUGAUCGGACCGCUCGGCUCAGUCUCCCCCACCCCCGGGUCCCGGCGGGGGAUGGUGCCUUCCGCAGCGCGCGCCUUGCUCCCGCGGUUCGGCUGCUCUGACGGGGGAGGGGACGUGAGCGCCGGGCUGGCCCCAGGGAGCGCGGGCCGCGGCUCCGCACGGACGGGACCAUGUCGGCGGGCGGGGAGGAGCUGAAAGUGCCCGAGGAGAUGUUUAAAGAUGUCAAGUUCUUCGCUGUGGGAGACAUCGACCCCAAGGUUAUUCAGCUUCUGAAAGCUGGGAAAGCAAAGGAGGUUUCUUAUAAUGCACUGGCUUCCCACAUUAUUUCGGAAGAUGGGGACAAUCCCGAGGUUGGAGAAUCUCGUGAGGUCUUUGAUCUCCCUGUGGUAAAGCCUUCCUGGGUGACUUUGUCUGUUCAGUGUGGAGCUCUUCUGCCGGUGAAUGGUUUCUCUCCCGAAUCAUGUCAGAUCUUUUUUGGAGUCACUGCUUGUCUCUCUCAGAUUUCAUCUGAAGACCGAAGUGUGCUGUGGGCUUUGAUUACUUUUUAUGGAGGGGAUUGCCAGCUGAGCCUCAAUAAUAAGUGUACUCAUUUGAUUGUGCCUGAGCCAAAGGGGGAAAAAUAUGAAUGCGCUUGUAAACGAGAGAGCAUUAAAAUUGUGACACCUGAUUGGGUACUAGAUUCUAUAUCUGAUAAAGCUAAAAAAGAAGAGAUAUCCUAUCAUCCCCGUCUAAUUAUAUAUGAGGAGGAAGAGGAGGAGGAAGAAGAAGACGCAGAAAAUGAAGAACAAGAUUCUCAAAAUGAAGCUAGUACUGAUGAAAAAUUAUCAAGCCCAGCAUCAUCUCGAGAAGGAUCGCCUUUGGGUGACCAGGCUUUUUCACCAAAAUCUAUUAGUGCUGAUAAAACAAAAGGGGAAUUGAUGUUUGAUGAUUCCUCAGAUUCCUCUCCUGAAAAGCAAGAAAGGAAUUUGAACUGGACACCAGCUGAAGUCCCACAGACAGCUGCAGCAAAGCGCAGGUUGCCUCAAGGCAAGGACUCUGGGUUAAUUAAUUUGUGUGCCAAUGUCCCACCAGUACCAGGCAAUAUUUUGCCUCCGGAAAUCAGAGGUAAUAUAAUGGCUUCCGUUCAAGGUACCCAAGGCUCUGAACGACCAGAAAUGAUGACUACGUGGAGUCCAGCAGUACGGACAUUAAGAAACAUUACUAAUAGUGCUGAUAUUCAGCAGAUUAAUAGACCAUCAAAUGUAGCACAUAUCUUGCAAUCCCUUUCAGCACCUACAAAAAGUUUAGAACAACAAGUAAAUCAUAGCCAGCAGGGACAUACAAACGCUGUGUUGUUUAGCCAAGUCAAAUUAACUCCAGAGACACAUUUAUUACAACAACAACAGCAUCAAACACAGCAGCAGCAGCACCACCCUCUUUUACACCUUCAACCUCAACAACUUAUGCAGUUGCAGCAACAGCAGCAGCAGCAGCAACAACCACAGAUUCCUCAACAACCUUUCCCACAGCAACAGUCUCAUCAGUUUUCACAACAACAACAGCAAGUUCAUCAGCAACACCAGUUUGCACAGCAGCUACAGUUUCCACAGCAACAGUUACAUCCUCAACAACAACUCCACCGUCCUCAGCAACAGCUGCAAUUCCAACAGCAGCAUGCCUUGCAACAGCAGUUGCAUCAGUUACAACAACAACAGUUGCAGCAGCAACAAUUACAGCAAAUACAGCAGCAGAACCUUCAACAGCAACAACUACAGCAGCAACAGCAGCAAAUUCAGCAACAGCAGUUGCAGCAGCAGCAUUUACAGCGAUUACAUCAGCAACAUCAACAGCAGCAAAUGCAAACUCAAGCACCGCAACAUUUGACUCAAACAUCUCAGCCACUACAACAUCAGGUGCCAGCCCAGCAACUGCAACAUCACCAGCAGCAACAGCAGCCACAGCUGCAACAACAUCAGCUGUUUGGACAUGAUCCAGCCAUAGAGAUUCCAGAAGAAUAUUUCCUGUUGGGCUGUGUCUUUGCAAUUGCUGAUUACCCAGAACAGAUGUCUGACAAACAGCUGUUAGCAACUUGGAAACGGAUCAUUCAAGCACAUGGCGGCACUGUGGACCCCACGCUUACAAGCAGAUGUACGCAUCUUCUCUGUGAAAGCCAAGUCAGUAAUAUGUAUGCUCAGGCUGUGAGAGAAAGGAAGAGGUGCAUCACAGCACACUGGCUGAACUCCAUCUUGAAGAAGAAGAAAAUGAUGCCACCACAUCGAGCCCUUCAUUUUCCAGUGGCAUUCCCACCAGGAGGAAAACCAUGCUCUCAGCAUAUUAUCUCAGUGACAGGAUUUGUUGAUAGUGACAGAGAUGAUCUCAAACUAAUGGCUUACCUAGCAGGGGCCAAAUACACCGGCUAUCUGUGUCGCAGCAACACAGUUCUCAUCUGUAAAGAGCCUACUGGGUUAAAGUAUGAGAAAGCCAAAGAAUGGAGGAUACCAUGUGUAAACGCACAGUGGAUUUGCGAUAUAUUGCUUGGAAAUUUUGAAGCAUUGCGGCAGAUUCAGCAUAGCCGAUAUACAGUGUUCAAUCUUCAGGACCCGCUUUCUCCUACUCAGCAUCUAGUUCUAAAUCUCCUGGAUGCUUGGAGAGUGCCAUUAAAGGUAUCAUCAGAGCUUCUAAUGGGUGUGAGAUUGCCCCUGAAACCAAAGCAAAAUGAAUCAAGUCUUCAGCCUUCUUCUAAACGGGCAAGAAUUGAGGACAUACCACCACCUACAAAAAAGCUCUCACCAGAAUUGACCCCAAUGGUGCUCUUCACAGGAUUUGAGCCUACACAAGUCCAGCAGUAUAUCAAGAAACUCUACAUUCUUGGGGGUGAAGUAGCAGAAUCUGCACAGAAAUGCACACAUCUAGUUGCCAGCAAAGUGACCCGUACUGUGAAGUUCCUGACAGCAAUUUCAGUUGUCAAGCACAUAGUAACUCCGGAGUGGUUAGAAGAGUGUUUCAAAUGCCAGAAAUUUGUUGAUGAGCAGAACUUCAUGCUCCGAGAUGCAGAAGCUGAGGUGCUUUUCUGCUUCAGCUUAGAGGAGUCUCUAAAGAGAGCACAAGUGGCUCCGCUUUUUAAGGGGAAAUAUUUUUACAUUACACCUGGAAUUUGUCCUAGCCUUUCCACCAUGAAGGCAAUUGUGGAAUGUGCAGGAGGAAAAGUAUUAUCCAAACAACCUUCUUUUCGAAAACUUAUGGAACACAAACAAAACAAAUAUUUUUUUUUAAUUUAUAGAGUUUGUCAGCGAUAAUCUUGAUAUCCUGUGAAAAUGAUCUUCACUUAUGUCGAGAAUAUUUUGCCAGAGGCAUAGAUGUCCAUAAUGCUGAGUUUGUUCUGACUGGAGUACUUACUCAAACACUGGAUUAUGAAUCAUAUAAAUUUACUUGAUGGAUAUUAAAAUGCCUUAUUGCUUCGGAGUCCUUGGAGCAUUAAAUCUAGCUGUUCCAGCCACCGUGUAAAGUAACUAAUACUUCCUGUGAGUGCUGUUUUCCAGCCGUGUUCCUUGGGAUGAUGAGCAGUUCAAAGCAGGAAAGCAAAAAAAACUGCAUCUUUUUUAGGAUGUGUAAUUUUAUUAUGAGGAAACAUAAUUUACUAUGUUUUGUAUGAUACUACUGUUUUAAAAGAUCCCGUUUUAGAUAUCAUAAUUAGUUUGCUAGUUUUUAAAUAUUUUAACUAUGGUACUUCAACCUAAAGGAAAAUUUGGAUGUGAAAAUAAAAAUAAGGGAUUGCUGUCUCUUAAGUUAUGGAUUUGAAGAUUGAAAAUGUUUUGUACUUUAUUUUUAUUUCUUACACUCUAUUUUCUUUUAUAUUGGUAUUUUGCCCAAGUUUUAAAUAAAUGUACUAUAAAUGUUUUACUCUAAAUUUUAGUGGUGUUUUUUUAAAUAUUGUGCAUUUAUGGCACUCUGGUAAAAGAAAGUGAAUCAUUUUUCCACGUGGUGUAAGACUUUAAGUUUAUUUUUUGGGGUAUGUUAAUAUAUAAAAGCCAGGUAAAUUAAACGGAAAUUCUUGUAAGUGUAUAAAUGUGUUUCUUCCAACGCAUUUAUAAACUUGGAGGAGGGAGUGACUACAGCCCACACACUCGUAACUCUGUUGUGAUAACUUUCUUCUGUAUAAUCAAUUUUAUGAAAUAAAUACUUUUUAAAAUCUCUCAAAAUUAUUUUUAACUUGUAUUUUAUCAAAAGUGAACUGUUCUUGCAAAACACA